ensembl:misc_RNA Metazoa_SRP Metazoan signal recognition particle RNA
GCUGGGCGUGGUGGCUCAUGCCUGUAAUCCCAGCACUUUGGGAGGCUGAGGCAGGUGGAUUACCUGAGGUCAGGAGUUCGAGACCAGCCUGACCAACAUGGUGAAACCCCGUCUCUA